rnacentral:lncRNA from 1 species
UUUUGGCAGCAGAAAGUAACUGAUCAUCAGCAAAAUCAAGAAAUUAAAUUGAGAUUCAUGUAUUGAAUGAAUGUUUGUUCUUUAAAUAAGUACAUGUAGAAUUGAUGUUCAUCCUGAUAAUUUAUUCUUUUGAUAAUAAUAAAGAUGUAUUCAUUUCUUGUUUCUUGUUUUUUUUCACUGUUUUGCCUCAUAUGUUUUACGUAAUGCAUCAAUGAUUUUGUAGUGUAUGACCAAACACCUUUUGUUUGAGAAAAACGAAUAUAAUAAACCAACAUAAACCUUAACAAAAUAAAAGUCAAACGAAAAAAAUAAAUUAAUCUGUUAAUCAUUCAUAACAGACCAGUCAUAGUAAUAAAUAAACUGAGACAUAGGAUAGACACCAUCAAUUAAUGGAUUAUAGAAAUCAAGGGACACUAACUAAUUAACCUAUUAACCUGUCACUGAUAUUUUUGACACCUAUAGUGAAUACAACUCUUGUCACUUAAUUAGGGGUUAUUCAUGGAUUAUAUUGGCUUGUCAAUCAAUGUUGAAUUUUUAAUAAAAAACAAUAAUAACACAAUUAGUCGGUUAGAUACAUUCUUUUAAAAUAGUAAUUUUUAAUAAAAACAAUAAUAACACAAUUAGGCGGUUAGAUACAUUCUUUUUAUAUAUAAGUACAAUAUUAUCUUCUUCUGAUUUCUGGUUCUUGGCUCUUCCUUUGGAAUGAUACAAAACCAUGUGACCAUGAAAAGUCAAUAGACAAAAGGAAACAGUGGGAAAUUCAACACAAAGUUUAACAGAGAGCAAAUAAAACACAAAGACAGUUACUGUAUUGUAGUCAUUUAUUUUCCACAAAAGCUAUUUAUUUAGAGAUUUAUGUAGUUUUGGUCAGGAAAUUCACAUCUGACCACCUUUCUUGAGCUUGGAUUUUUCCUCUGGUCUCGGGAUCUCGCUUAUAAUCAUAAUCCCUCUCUGGAUUCUGAAUUUUUACUCCCAAACUUCCAACUUAUAAGCGAGUACCUACAGUAAUUUAUGUAUUUCCUUAUCUAUACAAUGUCAGUGUUAACACUAAAAACUAUGAAAUCUGUAAAAUAACAAUAUACAGUUAUAGGAGAGUAUGGAUAGGAUAUACAGAAUAGAAAAUCAUGAAUGAUAGAAAAAAACUUCAGGAAUAGAGAGAAUUGGACAAAAAGAUGAUGAAUAGAAAAUAAUGGGGUGCAAAAAUAUAAAAAAUAGAGAAAAAUGGGUGCUAAAAUAAAAAAAAAAACCUUGGGAAUAAUUUGUCCAAAAAUAAAAAAUAAAGAGUCAAAAAACAAAAACAAUCUACAACCUCAUCUAGACAUAAGGAUGCAUUACAGAUUUAAAAAAAAAAACGCGUAGAAAAAAUAAAAGCAUAUGAAAUAAUCUCAAUCUGUCAGUAAUUAGUCUAAAACUAAUUACUGACAGAUUGAGAUUAUUUCAUAUGCUUUUAAAAAAGCCUUCUUAAAGGCUACAGAAAAAGUUAUAAAAAAUAAUCAGAAUGUUGUUCAUGAGUAUAUUUUAUAAUGAACAUAAUAUGGUUAGCACCUGUAAAAACAAAAUAACACACCACUCAGCUGCUACUGGUCUUGUUUACUGAUGAAUGUGUUACAAAAGUCUUCUUUGUAAUAAUCAGAUAAAGGCAAUAUAAAGAUUUGUAUUUCAGGGUAAGACUCCAUACGAUCUGGCAGCAGCAAGGGAAUUGGGGCCGAAUAAAGAAGUGAUGGAAUACUUACAGUACACAUACUUUUAAUUACAAAUGCUUACACUUAGAAUAAAUCAGGUACAAAACCAGGAUACUCUAGGGACAUUCUUAUUGUCUUGAAAUAAAAAUUUCAAAUUCUAAUGCAAUUUAUUUUUUAUUACGAUUUUGAUUGGCCAAAUUCAUAUAUUUGAGACGCUAAAUUCAACCUUUACCAGCCUUUCACAAAGCUAAGCCACCAUUUUGUAUUCAGAAAUUAUUGGUUUGUGAUUUCUUCAAUAUUAAACAAAAUUAGUAGAUGUUCUUUUAUUUAAUUCAAGAGUGUUA